rnacentral:rRNA from 1 species
UACGGAGGGUGCAAACGUUGCUCGGAAUCAUUGGGCGUAAAGCGCACGUAGGCGGCCUGACAAGUCGGGUGUGAAAGCCCUGGGCUCAACCCAGGAAGUGCACUCGAAACUGCCAGGCUUGAAUAUGGAAGAGGGUCGCGGAAUUCCCGGUGUAGAGGUGAAAUUCGUAGAUAUCGGGAGGAACACCAGUGGCGAAGGCGGCGACCUGGGCCAAUACUGACGAUCAGGUGCGAAAGCGUGGGGAGCAAACAGG